GUGUAAGUAGCUUAAUUAGAGCAUCUUAUUGAAAAUGAGAAAGGUGGUUAAUUCCCUGCACC
rnacentral:tRNA from 1 species